rnacentral:misc_RNA from 1 species
GUGCUUCAACAAUCCGUACACCCCCAUCGUUACACUUGAUGAAAGGUCUGCCUGUUUCAGAUCUCCGAAUCCUCCCUGAGGCGGUGUAGAAGAGAGCUAGCCAGGGAAACAUUGGCUUCUUCAAGUCAUAAAUGGUGNCCUUCAACUGCUUCAGCUGAGAAAAAGUAUACACCUCUAAUGUAGUGGAGCUUCAAGGCCAACCCCAUAUUUGUGAUUGGAUGGUCUGCGUCAUCGUCGCCAGUCUUCUCCGCCGGGACCACGGACGAUAUCCUAACGCCAGAGAGUGGGGUGUGGAGGGUAAGUGGUAACAUGGUCAUCAACCUGUAAUAGGAAGAGAAGAUAGGGUAGAG